GAAGAGGAUCUCACUCACAGAGGGACAGAGGAAAACAGAGAGACAAACUGCUGGAGGAAAAUAAUUCAUCUGACAGCAAAGAUGCAGUGGAGUCUGAUUCUGCUCUUCCUGAUGGGUCAGUGUUGCUUCAUGGACUGUCAGCUCUAUCAGUUUCACUACAUUAAAGAGGCAAAGAAGUGGACUGAAGCUCAGCAGUACUGCAGAGAG